rnacentral:sRNA from 1 species
AAUUGGUUUGAGGGUUUCAGGUUAUUGUUAAGCUGAGUAACAUUGUCUUCCUUCGCAACCAUGCUUGACUAGUUUUUU